CUACUUUCAGAGAAACACCAACCGACCAGCAAACACCAACUCCAGCAGCGGCCGCUGUGCUUGCGCCUGCUAUCAGAGGCAAGUUGGAGGAGGGAGAAGGCGGAAGCGGAAACCCGGCCCCAAUAUCCGGUCGGUCCAGGCAGUGUUGGAGAGCCGAAAAGGUAAUACCCAAUCAGAGGGCAGAAGUAGCUCCAGAGUUAGCAAAUCAGCAAGAGGAGAGGCGGACCCCCGAGUAAAACUCGUGACUCGGGAAGCACCUGCGUGGAGGGCGCUGCGCCGAGCCAGCACUGGGCAGGCGGAAGUAGUAAGUGAUUUAAGGAGGCAGAAAGAGAAAAAGGAGAUUCACUGAUAAGUUUUAUAGCUUGGAAAACCGUGAACAGAAAUAGCCACAACAGGAAAAGCUGGUUGUGUGGAAUGGGGAAGGAGAUGAGACAAAUGAAGAGGUCAGGUGUGGACGUAUCGAGCACAAGUGACCUGUGAGAUAUUCAGGAGACAUUCAACAGGAUGUUGGAAAUCUAAGUCUGAGGUUUGGGAGAGAGGAGGGUCUAAUUGCAGCAAUGGUGAGCAAGUUAUUUAAUAGUGGUUAGACAUAGUUGAAAAGAGAAUUAGUGAACCAGAAGAUAGAGCAGAAAAAUAUCCAAGCUGAAACAGAACCAAAAGGAUGAAAAACACAAAAAAGAGCAUUUUUUAAAAAACGGUAUGUGAGGGUAAAGGAAAUCAAACCAAAGAUUCAAGAGAAUCACCAUGAACUCCAAGCAAGAUAGAAAGUACCCUCCUGAAAGAAUUGUUUAAAAUCUACAUGUCACUUUAAAAAUGCAUAAGGAGCAUGUAUUUUGAACAGUUCUUUUAGGGAGGGUAUUUUUAUCUUGUUUGGAGUUCAUGGUGAUUCUCUUGAAUCUGUGGUUUGAUUUCCUUUACCAAUUUGGGAAAUUCUUAGCCAUUUUCUCUUCUGCCAUUGCUCCAGUCUUUCUUUAUUCUCCUUGCUAAAAUUACAUUAUAAAACCUAUCCCUCAUAUCCCAUAUUUUUUUUAAUGCUCUUUUCUGUUUUUUUAGGAGGCAGAAAGAGAAAAAGGAGAUUCACUGAUAAGUUUUAUAGCUUGGAAAACCGUGAACAGAAAUAGCCACAACAGGAAAAGCUGGUUGUGUGGAAUGGGAAGGAGAUGAGACAAAUGAAGAGGUCAGGUGUGGACGAUCGAGCACAAGUGACCUGUGAGAUAUUCAGGAGACAUUCAACAGGAUGUUGGAAAUCUAAGUCUGAGGUUUGGGAGAGAGGAGGGUCUAAUUGCAGCAAUGGUGAGCAAGUUAUUUAAUAGUGGUUAGACAUAGUUGAAAAGAGAAUUAGUGAACCAGAAGAUAGAGCAGAAAAAUAUCCAAGCUGAAACAGAACCAAAAGGAUGAAAAACACAAAAAAGAGUAUUUUUUAAAAAACGGUAUGUGAGGGUAAAGGAAAUCAAACCAAAGAUUCAAGAGAAUCACCAUGAACUCCAACAAGAUAGAAAGUACCCUCCCUGAAAGAAUUGUUUAAAAUCUACAUGCCUCUUAUGCAUUUUUUACUUGUCAUCUAAAUUUUUUCAAAACUUAUUUAGUUGCUAGGGAUAUAAUUUCUAAUUAUUGUAAACAUUGAUCCUUUCAAAUAAAAUUGUUGCAUUGCUUUUUAAAAUGUAUCUGGUGGCAUCUAAAUAACCAUAGUAAUUUUAUACUCACCAUAAUCCAUUUUAAAAUGAUAGCUUUUCAUUAAGAAAUUUCAGAUUCUUACUUUUGCUCCAUGAACACUUGCCCCAUCUUCCUGAUAAUAAAAAUAUGUAAUAUAAUUAACUUUUUAAAAUACCCCAUUACUAUAAUAAAACUCUGAAUGUUAAAAUUUAGUUUUGCAUUGACAUCGUUAUUAGCAGUAUACAUUUAAUCAAAGCAACAAAAUAAACCAGAAAAUUUUAUAAUUAUUAAAUAUAAAAAGUAAGACUUUAUUAGAACUUCACGUCUUAAAAGAUCUUGAUGGGCUUGUAUUAUCUAUUGCAGUGUAAUUAGAAAUUAGUACCUUAAAAUAACCAACAUUAUUUCUUACAAUUUCAGAGGGUCGGGAAUCUAACGGGGAUCUCUCAUGAGGCGGUUUCACAUAGCUGUUGUCAGGAAGCCUCAGUUCCUUGCCACAUGGGCGUCUCUAAAGAGUUGCCCAUGACACAGAUGUUGACACCCUCCAGAGUGAGUAAUCCAAGAAAGAAAGAAUGACCAAGAUAGAGGCAUGGUAUCUUUUUAAUAACUUUAUUGAGAUAAAAUUCACAAACCAUAUAAUUCACCCAUUUAAAGUAUACAGUUCAGUGGCUUUUAGUAAAUUCACAGAAUUGUGCAUGUAUCACCACUAUAAAUUUUAGAACAGUAUUGGUGGUGGA
ensembl:lncRNA